rnacentral:misc_RNA from 1 species
GUGAUUAAAUCGAGCGUGUCUUCAUUGACCGCUCACCCUUCUCACCAUCCACAUACCCUGUGCACUGUUUAGCCUGAGCCGGUUUUCCGGUCCAGGUUAUCAUUUCAUACAAACUCUAGUCUUAUGAAUGUAAACGUUUUAAUAACAUAAUA